GAUCCUGGCUCAGGAUGAACGCUAGCUACAGGCUUAACACAUGCAAGUCGAGGGGCAGCAUUUUAGUUUGCUUGCAAACUAAAGAUGGCGACCGGCGCACGGGUGAGUAACACGUAUCCAACCUGCCGAUAACUCGGGGAUAGCCUUUCGAAAGAAAGAUUAAUAUCCGAUAGCAUAUUGAGAUCGCAUGAUUUUGAUAUUAAAGAAUUUCGGUUAUCGAUGGGGAUGCGUUCCAUUAG
rnacentral:rRNA from 1 species